AUCCCAUGUGCUUCCAGACUCUGACCCAUAUCUGCAUUUUAUUGAACAAAUGAAUUUGGCUACUAAAGACUGAUCCUGGGAUGACAUCUUAGAUAUUCCUUCACCAAGAAUAGAUAACAGAGCAGGAACCAAAAAUUUCCUGGUGCCUCACUCCAAGUUGCAAUAUCAGCUCUUGUCAUAAAAAUAGGAUUCUGCCUUACACUGAGAACCCGGGAAAUGCGUGUCUGCAUAAUGAGCAGCCGGCUUCUUGGGUCAGAUAGAAGAGUGUCUGGUGGGUGACAGAGAACUCGAUGCUGCUCAGCGCCCUAAAAUGCUGGUAUUUGUGUUCUUGCAAAGCAGCCUGGGAAUGUUCAUGAUGCCAGGAAUUAAGGAGAAGGACUAGAAGACUAGAAUGUGGAAUCACGAUUCCCUAUUGUGUGCUGUUACAUCAUUUCUAAUCAGCAUGCCACAGCGCCGACGUUACCACCACUCUGUCUACAGGUGCCACUGUCUCUGUACUCCAGCCUC
rnacentral:lncRNA from 1 species